GAUGAACGCUGGCGGCGUGCCUAAUACAUGCAAGUCGAGCGAACAGACGAGGAGCUUGCUCCUCUGACGUUAGCGGCGGACGGGUGAGUAACACGUGGAUAACCUACCUAUAAGACUGGGAUAACUUCGGGAAACCGGAGCUAAUACCGGAUAAUAUAUUGAACCGCAUGGUUCAAUAGUGAAAGACGGUUUUGCUGUCACUUAUAGAUGGAUCCGCGCCGCAUUAGCUAGUUGGUAAGGUAACGGCUUACCAAGGCAACGAUGAGUAGCCGACCUGAGAGGGUGAUCGGCCACACUGGAACUGAGACACGGUCCAGACUCCUACGGGAGGCAGCAGUAGGGAAUCUUCCGCAAUGGGCGAAAGCCUGACGGAGCAACGCCGCGUGAGUGAUGAAGGUCUUCGGAUCGUAAAACUCUGUUAUUAGGGAAGAACAAAUGUGUAAGUAACUAUACACGUCUUGACGGUACCUAAUCAGAAAGCCACGGCUAACUACGUG
rnacentral:rRNA from 1 species